rnacentral:rRNA from 1 species
ACAACGAGUCGCAAACUCGCGAGAGUAAGCUAAUCUCUUAAAGCCGUUCUCAGUUCGGACUGUAGGCUGCAACUCGCCUACACGAAGUCGGAAUCGCUAGUAAUCGCGGAUCAGCAUGCCGCGGUGAAUACGUUCCCGGGCCUUGUACACACCGCCCGUCACACCAUGAGAGUUGGCAAUACCCAACGUACGUGAUCUAACCCGCAAGGGAGGAAGCGUCCUAAGGUAGGGUCAGCGAUUGGGGUGAAGUCGUAACAAGGUAGC